rnacentral:rRNA from 1 species
UUUUAUGGAGAGUUUGAUCCUGGCUCAGGAUGAACGCUGGCGGCGUGCCUAAUACAUGCAAGUCGAGCGAACAGACGAGGAGCUUGCUCCUCUGACGUUAGCGGCGGACGGGUGAGUAACACGUGGAUAACCUACCUAUAAGACUGGGAUAACUUCGGGAAACCGGAGCUAAUACCGGAUAAUAUAUUGAACCGCAUGGUUCAAUAGUGAAAGACGGUUUUGCUGUCACUUAUAGAUGGAUCCGCGCCGCAUUAGCUAGUUGGUAAGGUAACGGCUUACCAAGGCAACGAUGCGUAGCCGACCUGAGAGGGUGAUCGGCCACACUGGAACUGAGACACGGUCCAGACUCCUACGGGAGGCAGCAGUAGGGAAUCUUCCGC